UGAAAGAGUUUAAAUAGCAUGGGGAGUUUUAAUGUAAAGUCAUGGGGAAAAUUAUCAUUUGAUGCAGCAAAAGUAAUUAUGAAUCAUAUAAUUUCCUAGCAUGUGUGUGUGUGUGUGUGUGUGUGUAAGCAAAUACCCGGUAGCCACCAAUUCAA